AGAAAAGGAGGGUGGUAUGGCAAGACACUUGGUAUGAUGAGAGAGUUCCGUGAAUGCCUAAUGGAUUGUGGUCUCGACGAUUUAGGCUAUACAUGUGACCUUUUCACUUGGAGUAGAGGCGAAAUUCGUGAGCGUCUUGAUCAGGCGGCCUGUAAUUUAGCAUGGGCAAAUAAAUUCCCACGAGCGGGAGUGAUCAACGACGAACAUGUUCAUUCUGACCAUCGUCCAAUCGUACUAGAUACAGGUUUUUUGGAUAAAAAAAUUUCAAACGACCAGAGGGACGUGCUAAACAAUUUGAGGCAAGGUGAUUGA
rnacentral:rRNA from 1 species